rnacentral:tRNA from 1 species
GAGAAACCAGUCUAAACAAGACAGCUAAUUUCGACUUAGCAAAUUAUGAUUUACCCUCAUAGCUUCUCUC